AUCAAUAAGCGGAGGAAAAGAAACCAACAGGGAUUGCCCUAGUAACGGCGAGUGAAGCGGCAAUAGCUCAAAUUUGAAAGCUGGCCUUCUGGUCCGCAUUGUAAUUUGUAGAGGAUGCUUUUAGGCAGCCGCCGGUCUAAGUUCCUUGGAACAGGACGUCAUAGAGGGUGAGAAUCCCGUAUGUGACCGGCUCUGGCACCUUCUGUAAAGCUCCUUCGACGAGUCGAGUUGUUUGGGAAUGCAGCUCUAAAUGGGAGGUAAAUUUCUUCUAAAGCUAAAUACCGGCGAGAGACCGAUAGCGCACAAGUAGAGUGAUCGAAAGAUGAAAAGCACUUUGGAAAGAGAGUUAAAAAGCACGUGAAAUUGUUGAAAGGGAAGCGCUUGCAAUCAGACUUGGCUUCGGUUGUUCAACAGGUCUUCUGACCUGCCUAUUCAAUCGGAGCCAGGCCAGCAUCAGUUUCGGCGGCCGGAUAAAGGCCCUGGGAAUGUGACUGUUCCUUCGGGGACAGUGUUAUAGCCCAGGGUGUAAUACGGCCAGCUGGGACUGAGGUCCGCGCUUCGGCUAGGAUGCUGGCGUAAUGGUUGUAAGCGGCCCGUCUUGAAACACGGACCAAGGAGUCUAACAUCUAUGCGAGUGUUAGGGUGUCAAACCCUUACGCGUAAUGAAAGUGAACGGAGGUGAGAACCCGCAAGGGCGCAUCAUCGACCGAUCCUGAUGUCUUCGGAUGGAUUUGAGUAUGAGCAUAGCUGUUGGGACCCGAAAGAUGGUGAACUAUGCCUGAAUAGGGUGAAGCCAGAGGAAACUCUGGUGGAGGCUCGCAGCGGUUCUGACGUGCAAAUC
rnacentral:rRNA from 1 species